UCCGUAGGUGAACCUGCGGAAGGAUCAUUACCGAGUGCGGGCCCUCGUGGCCCAACCUCCCACCCUUGUCUCUAUACACCUGUUGCUUUGGCGGGCCCACCGGGGCCACCUGGUCGCCGGGGGACAUCUGUCCCCGGGCCCGCGCCCGCCGAAGCGCUCUGUGAACCCUGAUGAAGAUGGGCUGUCUGAGUACUAUGAAAAUUGUCAAAACUUUCAACAAUGGAUCUCUUGGUUCCGGCAUCGAUGAAGAACGCAGCGAAAUGCGAUAAGUAAUGUGAAUUGCAGAAUUCCGUGAAUCAUCGAAUCUUUGAACGCACAUUGCGCCCCCUGGCAUUCCGGGGGGCAUGCCUGUCCGAGCGUCAUUUCUGCCCUCAAGCACGGCUUGUGUGUUGGGUGCGGUCCCCCCGGGGACCUGCCCGAAAGGCAGCGGCGACGUCCGUCUGGUCCUCGAGCGUAUGGGGCUUUGUCACUCGCUCGGGAAGGACUGGCGGGGGUUGGUCACCACCAAAAUUUUACCACGGUUGACCUCGGAUCAGGUAGGAGUUACCCGCUGAACUUAAGCAUAUCAAUAAGCGGAGGA
rnacentral:rRNA from 1 species